rnacentral:tRNA from 1 species
GAACUUAGGUUAACAUCAAACCACAAACCUUCAAAGUUUAAAAUAAGGAACACCCCUUAGCUCCUGAAAGCCUG